rnacentral:rRNA from 1 species
GACGAACGCUGGCGGCGUGCCUAAUACAUGCAAGUAGAACGCUGAAGGAGGAGCUUGCUUCUCUGGAUGAGUUGCGAACGGGUGAGUAACGCGUAGGUAACCUGCCUGGUAGCGGGGGAUAACUAUUGGAAACGAUAGCUAAUACCGCAUAAUAGCAGUUGUUGCAUGAUAACUGUUUGAAAGGUGCAAUUGCACCACUACCAGAUGGACCUGCGUUGUAUUAGCUAGUUGGUGGGGUAACGGCUCUCCAAGGCGACGAUACAUAGCCGACCUGAGAGGGUGAUCGGCCACACUGGGACUGAGACACGGCCCAGACUCCUACGGGAGGCAGCAGUAGGGAAUCUUCGGCAAUGGACGGAAGUCUGACCGAGCAACGCCGCGUGAGUGAAGAAGGUUUUCGGAUCGUAAAGCUCUGUUGUAAGAGAAGAACGAGUGUGAGAGUGGAAAGUUCACACUGUGACGGUAUCUUACCAGAAAGGGACGGCUAACUACGUG